rnacentral:rRNA from 1 species
AACGAACGCUGGCGGCGUGCUUAACACAUGCAAGUCGAACGCGGACGGGUUCUUCGGGACCUUAGUAGAGUGGCGCACGGGUGAGUAACGCGUAUGUUAUCUACCUCGGCAUCUGGAAUAACUCACCGAAAGGUGUGCUAAUACCGGAUACGUUGUGUAAUCAAGAAAGGUGGCCGCUGAAUAUGCUACCGUGCUGAGAUGAGCUUGCGUACCAUUAGCUAGUUGGUGGGGUAAUGGCCUACCAAGGCGACGAUGGUUAGCGGGUCUGAGAGGAUGAUCCGCCACACUGGAACUGGAACACGGACCAGACUCCUACGGGAGGCAGCAGUGAGGAAUAUUGCGCAAUGGGGGCAACCCUGACGCAGCGACGCCGCGUGGAUGAUGAAGGCCUUCGGGUCGUAAAAUCCUGUCAGGUGGAAAGAAAUGUAUAUGUGCUAAUACCAUGUAUACUUGACGGUACCACCGAAGGAAGCACCGGCUAACUCCGUGCCAGCAGCCGCCGUAA